GCCCAGUUAUGUGGUCGGAGAGAAUGAUGAAGGUGUGUGAUGAGCAAGAUGGAGAAGCAGGGCACGUGCAUUACUAGCUCAUAUAUACACUCUCACCACAAAUGCGUGUAUAUAUGCGGAAUUUUGUGAUAUAGAUGUGUGUGUGUGUGUUGAGUGUGAUGAUAUGGAUGAGUUAGUUCUUCAUGUGCCCAUCUUCACCAUCAUGACCACUCCACCUUGGUGACGAUGACGACGAGGGUUCAAGUGUUACGCACGUGGGAAUAUACUU
rnacentral:precursor_RNA from 1 species